UUGAAUCUGCCGAUUUUUACGAAGCCGCCAGUUUUUUAACCGAUUGAACCGGGCCGAUUUUUUACAGAAAAAUUAUAGUUUUAAUUUGACCCAAUUUGGCCCCAAAACUUUGAAUCUAAAAUUUUUAAUUUUUAAUUUUUUCAUAUUUUUUACUAUAUUAUUAUUCACGAAGUAGAUAUAUAAUUUUAAACCCAUUUGACCAAUUUGUUUCUAAGAGUAUUUAAAAAAUUAUAUAUAAUAAGUUGUAAGUAUUAGUAAUAUUCAUGUAACUAUUUUGAAUUUUAAAAGAAUUUUUUUAAUAAUUUUAACUUUCAAAAACACCGACAUAGCAGUUGAAGGGGUAUUAAAAAAAAAUUUAUUUUUAUUAUUAUAAUAAAAUAGAUUUUUAUUAUUUAUAUUAUAAGAACAGUUGAAACCGUUGGUUUGAAACCAAUGAACGUUGAAUUGGGUGCUUUGACCGGUUCAAAUGUCCGGGCAAUUCUGAUAACUAGGGCUUCCAGCAUUAUGAGCUCCGCCCUCUUUCUCUCUCUCUCUAAUAAUAAAUUGUCUUUUAUUUUUUUUCAAUUUAGAGUUAAAAAUUAUUUAAACAUAAAAUUAUCUUGACUUUAUUUAUAUUUUUAAUAUAUGUGGGUGGAUUUUUUUUUAGUUGAUAGUUUUUCAAAAAAAAAAUUUUUAACAUUAUUUUUAACAGAAACUAAUUUUUUUGAAACGUUUUUUUUAACAAAAAAUUAAAUUGGAAAAUAGUUUUUUUAACCGAAAAUUAUUGUUUUUGAAAAUAGUUUUUUUUUACAUAAAAUAGUUUAUCUGUUUUUUAAAAAAAAAAGAUUUUGUUCAAAAAUAGUUUUUAUGAGACCUACUUUAGAAAUAUUUUUUAAAAAAAAUCAUUUUUUUUAACAAAAAAUUGUUCUAUUUUUUUUUCAAUUUUUAACAAAAAAAAUUUAUAUAAUUUGAUUUUUAUACUUUGUUUCCAUUAUUUUUAACUCUAAAUUGAAAAAAAAAAUAAAAAAACUUAAUUAAUUAGAGAGAGAGAGAGAGAGGGAGACGUCAUUAAUGACUUGGGCUCCACUAGCACAAAUGUCAGGGUGCUUUGCUGACAGGAGGCGCUCCCGCGUGCCCGUGGAAUCAUGACUCUUCUUGAAAUUUAACCAAAGCCACGUGGAAGUUUUUCUUCCUAAAUAACUUCCUGAAUAUGACAAUACAAUACAUGUGACCUAUCACUAUUGAAUAGAGAACAAACCUUCGUCUUUUGAUAAAAUCACACUCGCACUUGCAUGCAACUUUGCGAGAUCAGUUCUAAGGGAAUUGAUAUGGCCACCCCAAGAUCUUAACUUUUGAAAGUUUUGACUAACCUUCCACAACUUGUACCUUCUGCUUCAAUUCAUGAUCAUGAGAUGGAUUCACAUUCUAAGUCACUCUAGUAGAAAUCUUAGGCCCAAAAGUUAGAUUUUCAAUCCUUUUUUUACAAUUUUAACGAGGUUCAAUGUGAGAUUUGUGGGAAGAAAAGUUAUACAGCCAUCACAUGCCAUUGUUGAUUGAACAUGAAUUACCAAUCUCCUUUCCUUCAACCGUCUCGAGAGCCUCGGUCCUCCCCGGCAUACAAUGCUUCUCCACAAGGUUACGUUGUUUCCCCUGCUUCAGUGCUGCCUCCAUUUGUAUUCUACUGCUGCCAGUACUCCAUGGUAUUUGGACUCCGGUGGAACUUCCCACGUUACAAAUGGUAUUUCCAAUAUCUCGGGUGCACAGCCCUAUACUGAUCCUGUUGCUGUUUGUUAAGAACAGAGUUCUGUACUAGAAUUGAUAUUGAUGAUAGCUGGAAGAAGAAAGAAAAAAAUGGAAUUCCCUAUUCGAGCUAGGGAUAAAGCUCCUUAAAAGAACAAGUAAAGCUGAAUUUUUCAUUACCCUUCUCGAAUCAACAUUAAUCUUAUAUGCUGGCGUUUACAAGAAUUCAAGAAGAUAUGUAACAGUUUUAACCACUAACUGAAUUAAACCUAUCUUGAUAAUUGCCCAUGGGCCUUCAGUUAUCUGUUAGUCAAGCAGUUAUUUCCCCUGCUUUCUUUCCUGGUUCCCGCCUCUUUAAGUCUCAUAAAUCCUUCAUCCAGUCUGGCCUUUUGAUAUUCCUUCUGUCUAUCAUCUGUGCAGAGGCUGUUCUCGUUCUCCCCUAUCUGCCACUGCAUUCCGUAACCUUUCCCUCACCAUCAAAACAAACUUGGUCCUCCAAGUUAAAGUGUGGACAAAGUUCAUGAAGAGUAUCAACAUCUUCCCAUGAACUAUCUUCUACAGGCAAUCCAUCCUACUGUACUAAAACUUGAGAUUUGAACUGAUUGUCGACUAAAAUUGUAUGACUAUCCACAAUGGCCAAUGGAGAAAUGGAAUUUUGUGAAUUUAGAUUAGAACUGGGUAAAGUAGCAUCCCCAGUUGGUAAUUCGGAACCAACAAAAGGUUUCAGUUGUGAGACAUGAAACACUGGAUGUAUUUGACUAGUAGAGGGGGGCAUGUCCAA
rnacentral:lncRNA from 1 species